rnacentral:rRNA from 1 species
UACAGAGGUCCCAAGCGUUGUUCGGAUUCACUGGGCGUAAAGGGUGCGUAGGUGGCGGGGUAAGUCGGAUGUGAAAUCUCGGGGCUUAACUCCGAAACUGCAUUCGAUACUGCCGUGCUUGAGGACUGGAGAGGAGACUGGAAUUUACGGUGUAGCGGUGAAAUGCGUAGAUAUCGUAAGGAAGACCAGUGGCGAAGGCGGGUCUCUGGACAGUUCCUGACGCUGAGGCACGAAGGCCAGGGGAGCAAACGGG